GGUGACUCAGUGGUAGAGUGCUUGCCUUGCAUGCAUGAGGCCUUGGGUUCGAUUCCUCAGCACCA
rnacentral:tRNA from 1 species